CCAUAAGGAAUGUUUAUCGAAAUCAUGAUGCACUUAUUUUCUCAAAACAAUGCAAUUUGUUCUAGUUUUUAGUAGAACCCCUCAUGUAAACCCCUCAUGAGUAAAUCACUUAAAAAAUCCAUACUUAACUAUGGUACCAAAGAAUUGAAAAAUAUAGCAAAACCCACAAGUUAGCCAAAAUGGACAGAAAGUUUCUCGCUGCAGCGAACUUCAUUCUCGUUGUAACGAGAACCAAGUCUGGUGAAGGCCCUCAAACCCGAGAGUUUCUCGCUACAGCGAGAGUCAAAACAUCAAGAAAAAAGUCUCAUUUUCCUUUAAAACAAACCAUCCUGCUAAAAUAACAAUAGCAACAUGUAACACAUGUAAACUCCUAAAUUUCAACAAAUCAAAUGCUCACAUAUUUGUAUUUACAACCAUAUACCAUAUUGUAUAUAUAUAUAUAUCCAUCAUCAUAUACACCCUCCCAUCAUCAUCAUCUCAUAUGCAACAGCUUAUGCGUACUCCCACUCGCAUAUAGCCGGGUCAACAAUGGCUUAUGUGCACUCCUACUCGCACAUAGUCAGGUCAGCAACGGCUUAUGUGCACUCCUACUAGCACAUAGCUGGGUUAGCAAUGGCUUAUGUGCAUUCCCACUCGCACAUAGCCGGGUCAGCAACGGCUUAUGUGCACUCCCACUGGCACAUAGUCGGGUCAGCAACGACUUAUGUGCACUCCUACUCGCACAUAGCCAGGUCCACAUCAACAUGCAAAGAAGCAUCCAAUGUGUAUCAUGCAUUUUAUCAUAUUGUGAUAACACAUAAACCAUUGUAUAGCACAUUUUCACAAUAUAAAAUCAUUUUACUAAAAGCUUGUUCCCAAGGUAUAUUUUCUAAGACAAGUUGGAUAGAAUCUUUCAUAUUCCCUAAAACAAGUUUGAAAUGCAAGUCCAUUCACCAGUAUUCGUUGAGCCUUUAGCCGACUUUUAAUCCCCCUAAUGAUCUAAUUGGGGUGAUGGGGCUUUGUUAGCACCUACCAUCAAAUUAACAUUUCCAUAAUGUCAAUUUACAUACUAUAAACCCUAAAAGCUAUCUUUUAGCUAGUUGUCAAUUACCAUUUAAAUGGCCAUCCAUUUUCACUUUCUUAUCACUCCAAAGUCAAUUAACAAUCUCAACUUCAAAAUAUUCACAAAUCAAAUCUCUAGUCAUUCUCAAUACUUAAAACCCAAUACUAGUUUACUACUCACCUUGAUAGCUUUGUAACUUUGAACUUCUUUCCAAAAGCUCUCAAGCUAUUAAUAAAGCUUCCUCUUUCUCUCUUUAAAACACCUAACUAGUGAGAGAUUAUGGAAACAAGAAUUUCAUCAUUUUCAAGGGUUUUAAAGUGAGAGAGUGGAAGAAUACAAGGGUUCUAGUCAAAAGGGCACCAAGGUAUGAAAAUUAGAACUAGAGAGAGAAAGUUAUGAAAGCUUCACAUCAAGCUUCCAUGGAGGAAUUGAAGAAACGUGAGAGGGAAGAGAACAAGAAGAAGAAGCUGUUAGAAAUCCCAAAAAGUUGCUAGAAGGAGAGGAUAUUUAUGGCCGAAGCUUAUCCACUCCCUUGGAAAUUACUAAAAUGCCCCUCCACAAAUUAACUUAAUCCUUGAAAUCCCACACUUUUUCUUCAAUUUUCC
rnacentral:lncRNA from 1 species